rnacentral:rRNA from 1 species
GAGAUGUGGGUAGUCCGCACGAGCGCACCUCACUUUUAGUUGCCAUCAUUAAGUUGGGCACUCUGAAAGAACUGCCAGUGAUAAGCUGGAGGAAGGUGGGGAUGACGUCAAGUCCUCAUGGCCCUUACGUGUUGGGCUACACACGUGCUACAAUGGCAUCUACAACAGGAAGCAAAGCGGCAACGUUAAGCAAAUCCCGAAAAGAUGCCUCAGUUCGGAUUGCACUCUGCAACUCGAGUGCAUGAAGCUGGAAUUACUAGUAAUCGUGGAUCAGCGUGCCACGGUGAAUGCGUUCCCGGGUCUUGUACACACCGCCCGUCACACCAUGGGAGUUGGUUCUACCUUAAGGCAAGGCUUUAAACCCUUGACCACGGUAUAGUCAGCGACUGGGGUGAAGUCGUAACAAGGUAGCCGUAGGGGAACCUGCGGCUGGAUUACCUCCUUUCU